rnacentral:rRNA from 1 species
CAUAUCAAUAAGCGGAGGAAAAGAAACUAACAAGGAUUCCCCUAGUAACUGCGAGUGAACCGGGAAAAGCUCAAAUUUAAAAUCUGGUAGCCAUUGGCUGCCCGAGUUGUAAUCUAGAGAAGCGUURUCCGUGCUGGACCGUGUAUAAGUCUCCUGGAAUGGAGCGUCAUAGAGGGUGAGAAUCCCGUCUUUGACACGGACUGCCAGUGCUUUGUGAUGCGCUCUCAAAGAGUCGAGUUGUUUGGGAAUGCAGCUCUAAAUGGGUGGUAAAUUCCAUCUAAAGCUAAAUAUUGGCGAGAGACCGAUAGCGAACAAGUACCGUGAGGGAAAGAUGAAAAGAACUUUGGAAAGAGAGUUAAACAGUACGUGAAAUUGUUGAAAGGGAAACGCUUGAAGUCAGACRCGUUGGUCAGAAAUCAGCCUUGCSUUUGCUUGGUGUAUUUUCUGGUUUAACGGGUCAGCAUCAAUUUUGACCGAUGGAAAAAGGUCAGGGGAAUGUGGCAUCUUUGGAUGUGUUAUAGCYCCUGGUUGUAUACAUCGGUUGGGAUUGAGGAACUCAGCACGCCGCGAGGUCGGGUUUUUAACCACGUUCGUGCUUAGGAUGCUGGCAUAAUGGCUUUAAUCGACCCGUCUUGAAACACGGACCAAGGAGUCUAACAUGCCUGCGAGUGUUUGGGUGGAAAACCCGAGCGCACAAUGAAAGUGAAAGUUGAGAUCCCUGUCGUGGGGAGCAUCGACGCCCGGACCAGACCUUUUGUGACGGAUCCGCGGUAGAGCAUGUAUGUUGGGACCCGAAAGAUGGUGAACUAUGCCUGAAUAGGGUGAAGCCAGAGGAAACUCUGGUGGAGGCUCGUAGCGAUUCUGACGUGCAAAUCGAUCGUCAAAUUUGGGUAUAGGGGCGAAA